AGGCAUCCAUCUCCCUGGUUCCAUGGACGACCACAAGGAGAUCGAGUCCCACGACCUUCUCUGUUUCUCCCCUAGCGCGAGCAGGCAAGCUCCUCUGCCCGAGCCGGCGACCAACGGCAGCAGCUCCCGCUGCACCCUGCUACCCCGGCCUCUAGCGCGACCGCUGCCUCGACCUCCCAGCACCGCAAGGCCCAUGUCCUUCUUCUCUUCC
rnacentral:lncRNA from 1 species